ACGUCCUACCGGGCAUGCCUCUUCAAUUUUUGGCCAAAGAGCAAUGUUGGCCUUUGGUCGAGUGUUGGGUUUCCUGUGUUGCGUACCUACUGUGAAGGCAUUCGCUUGACCCAUUUUUCGCUCGUUCGUCUUGUGUGACCCUUUGGGGUGCGUAACGGGGUGAACCUCAAAGCUCUCUCUGUGGUCCACACCACGCUUGUCGUGUUCGUGGCCCAUGGAGUAUUUGCUUGAGCUCUCGGAUGCAGAACGCCUUGAGGGUAUGGGGGACUCACAGCCUCUAUUUUUGCCCACAUGAGCGUUCGUCGCUAAGCGUACGACUGCUGUUACUGUCUUUGUGCAGUCGCCCCCACGAGCGGCUUGCUCAUAUGCUGUGACGGCGUCGGUGAGGAAUGCU
rnacentral:misc_RNA from 1 species